rnacentral:rRNA from 1 species
AAAUUGAAGAGUUUGAUCAUGGCUCAGAUUGAACGCUGGCGGCAGGCCUAACACAUGCAAGUCGAGCGGUAGCACAGAGAGCUUGCUCUCGGGUGACGAGCGGCGGACGGGUGAGUAAUGUCUGGGAAACUGCCUGAUGGAGGGGGAUAACUACUGGAAACGGUAGCUAAUACCGCAUAAUGUCGCAAGACCAAAGUGGGGGACCUUCGGGCCUCAUGCCAUCAGAUGUGCCCAGAUGGGAUUAGCUAGUAGGUGGGGUAACGGCUCACCUAGGCGACGAUCCCUAGCUGGUCUGAGAGGAUGACCAGCCACACUGGAACUGAGACACGGUCCAGACUCCUACGGGAGGCAGCAGUGGGGAAUAUUGCACAAUGGGCGCAAGCCUGAUGCAGCCAUGCCGCGUGUGUGAAGAAGGCCUUCGGGUUGUAAAGCACUUUCAGCGGGGAGGAAGGCGUUAAGGUUAAUAACCUUGGCGAUUGACGUUACCCGCAGAAGAAGCACCGGCUAACUCCGUGCCAGCAGCCGCGGUAAUACGGAGGGUGCAAGCGUUAAUCGGAAUUACUGGGCGUAAAGCGCACGCAGGCGGUCUGUCAAGUCGGAUGUGAAAUCCCCGGGCUCAACCUGGGAACUGCAUUCGAAACUGGCAGGCUAGAGUCUUGUAGAGGGGGGUAGAAUUCCAGGUGUAGCGGUGAAAUGCGUAGAGAUCUGGAGGAAUACCGGUGGCGAAGGCGGCCCCCUGGACAAAGACUGACGCUCAGGUGCGAAAGCGUGGGGAGCAAACAGGAUUAGAUACCCUGGUAGUCCACGCCGUAAACGAUGUCGAUUUGGAGGUUGGUUGUGCCCUUGAGGCGUGGCUUCCGGAGCUAACGCGUUAAAUCGACCGCCUGGGGAGUACGGCCGCAAGGUUAAAACUCAAAUGAAUUGACGGGGGCCCGCACAAGCGGUGGAGCAUGUGGUUUAAUUCGAUGCAACGCGAAGAACCUUACCUGGUCUUGACAUCCACAGAACUUUCCAGAGAUGGAUUGGUGCCUUCGGGAACUGUGAGACAGGUGCUGCAUGGCUGUCGUCAGCUCGUGUUGUGAAAUGUUGGGUUAAGUCCCGCAACGAGCGCAACCCUUAUCCUUUGUUGCCAGCGGUUCGGCCGGGAACUCAAAGGAGACUGCCAGUGAUAAACUGGAGGAAGGUGGGGAUGACGUCAAGUCAUCAUGGCCCUUACGACCAGGGCUACACACGUGCUACAAUGGCAUAUACAAAGAGAAGCGACCUCGCGAGAGCAAGCGGACCUCAUAAAGUAUGUCGUAGUCCGGAUUGGAGUCUGCAACUCGACUCCAUGAAGUCGGAAUCGCUAGUAAUCGUAGAUCAGAAUGCUACGGUGAAUACGUUCCCGGGCCUUGUACACACCGCCCGUCACACCAUGGGAGUGGGUUGCAAAAGAAGUAGGUAGCUUAACCUUCGGGAGGGCGCUUACCACUUUGUGAUUCAUGACUGGGGUGAAGUCGUAACAAGGUAACCGUAGGGGAACCUGCGGUUGGAUCACCUCCUUA